rnacentral:rRNA from 1 species
AGUCUCGGCUAACUACGUGCCAGCAGCCGCGGUAAUACGUAGGAGGCGAGCGUUAUCCGGAUUUAUUGGGCGUAAAGCGCGUGCAGGUGGUUUGGUAAGUUGGGUAUGAAAUCUUCUGGCUUAACUAGGAGAGGUUGCUCAAAACUGCCAGACUAGAGGACGAUAGAGGAAGGUGGAAUUCCCGGUGUAGUAGUGAAAUGCGUAGAUAUCGGGAGGAACACCAGUGGCGAAGGCGGCCUUCUGGGUCGUUCCUGACACUAAGACGCGAAAGCAUGGGUAGCAAACGGGAUUAGAAACCCCGGUAGUCCAUGCCGUAAACGAUGUGAACUUGAUGUCGGUGGUGUAAUAACCAUCGGUGUCGUAGUUAACGCGAUAAGUUCACCGCCUGGGGAGUACGAUCGCAAGGUUAAAACUCAAAGGAAUUGA